UGUACAGAGUUAUACAUAAAAACAGUAUACAAUGGAAUUAACAACAAAAAUUAAUCGUGUACAUUAAGUAUUUUUUCCAGUAGUUGAGAUGUCUUAAUAGCUUUGGUAUUACUUUGUAUAGCAGUGAGGGAAUCAUAAAAAAGUUUUAGAUCAAUGAAAAAUAGUUUACAAUUUGGUACAGUCAGCAUACAUUUUGUUUUGUGGAUGUGAUACUUUCCAAAUAAAAUAAGAAUUUUUGCUUUUUUGUCCAUUUCCAGUAAUCCAGAGUUGCAAUCCGUAAAAAAAAACCAUUUGCUCAGUUAUACUGAUUAAUUUAUAAAACACUUCAAAAAGUAGUAAGGAAACUUGGGACCAAAACUGUUUUGUGUAACUGCAACUGAAAAAUAAAUGAAGAAUUGUUUCCGGUUCCUUUUUACAAAAACAACACAAGGGUGAAAAACCUUCCUUAAACUUACUUAUAAAAUCAUUGCAUGGAUAAUAUCUAUGUAAUAUUUUAAAAUUUGUUUCUUUUACUUUAUUAGGAAUAAUGUAUUUUGUAAUAUCUGACCAGAUUUUUGGGGAAAAGAAGAAUGAAGGGAAUGCUUGUUUAUAUUUAACCAUUGCAAUUGGAGGAACACUUUUAUCUGCAGUUAGGAUAUUCCUGAUAUAAUUGUUAUUACAUUUUUUAUCUUUGAUAGAAAGGCCCUUAAAACCUUACUGCAGUUGAAACAUAGCGCUGAUGCGGCGCCGCCUGAUGACGUCACAGGCUACGCCAAAAUAAAAAUAGCAAACCGAUGUUGAUUCAACGUUGAAUAAGGGGUUCGGGGGAGAAGAGACUUUCCUGAGGAUUUCAUAAUUCCUACAGGAUACCAGCAGGUUCCUGCAGAAAAAAAAUGAAGAAAACACAAGAACAGAAUAAACUCAAUGAAUGUAUCCUUACAUUAUGUAGGAACUGAAAUACCUUAGCAGGUGGCGGUGUGCAGUUUUACUCUGCUCUCUGACUCAACGCACAGCCAGAAGAAGAAGAGGUGCGUAGCGUCUAAACUUUCUUCUCCACAUCCAGCAGUUAAUACUGCUUUAGUUUCCUCUAGAGUUUCUGCUGGAGAUCAAACUUUUCAGAUCCAUCAUGGAGGACACGCACACUUCUGGAGAUCUGGAUUUGUUUGCAUCAUGGAGUGUGGAUGGAGAUGAUCAGACUGGAGACCUGCAGCAGGAUUCACUCCAACCAGAACAUGAUGAACUGCAGAGAGUCAAAGAGCAGCACAAAACUAGCAUGAAGAACAAGUAUGAGAGAUUAUUUGAGGGAAUCAACCAUGGAGAGACUCAAAAAUUCCUGAACAGGAUUUACACACAGCUCUACAUUAUAGAAGGAGAGAGUGAAGGAGUGAAUAGAGAGCAUGACGUUUUACAGAUAGAGAAAAGAGUCAGAACAAAACCCUCACAACACACUCCAGUCUACUGCAAUGACAUCUUUAAAGCCUCAGCUGGAGCAGGACAUGAGGAGAAGAUCAAGAAGGAGAAAGCCCAGAUCAAGACUGUUCUCACUAAAGGC